rnacentral:rRNA from 1 species
AUCCGGUGAAUACGUUCCCGGACCUUGUACACACCGCCCGUCAAGCCAUGGAAGCCCGGUGUACCUGAAGACGAUAACCGUAAGGAGUCGUUCAAGGUAAAACGGGUAACUGGGGCU